AGAAGCUGAAGACCUUUCUCUGGGUGCCCCACAACGGGAAGGACAGUUGUGAUCCGACUUCUAUAGCAGAGAACACACGUGUCCACUUUCCCCAAGCCAGACUGGAGCCCGAGGCAUGGCUCUUACUCCAGGCAGGGUGGGGUGGAAAAGCCAGAGGUGGGGGAGGAGCAGCAGGGGGUGGGGGCCACCCCACCUGUUGCUGCUGCCCAGCAGUGCUGGCAGGAAGAGACAGCCCUCCCCUCUGCCUCCACCCUCACCACAGCUCCCAUCCAUUGUCACCGCACUGUCUCAGCGCUGCUAUAUUUAAGACGGUUACAAGGCUCUCAGAUCACAUUCUUCCCCCGUCCUCACUGAGCCGAGGACAAGAAGAGAGCAGAGAGCCUCUUACUGUCCUAGAGACUGCCCAGUGGACACUGCUGUUUCUGUUAUUGCGCUCGCAGCCAUGACUCUGCCCCACAGCCCUGGGAGUGCCGGGGAGCCCCAAGCCUCCCAGACCGUGCAGGUCCACAGGCUGGAACACAGGCAGGAGGAGGAGCAGAAAGAGGAGCGGCAGCACAGCCUGCAGAUGGGUUCUUCCGUGCAGAGGCGGACCUACCGCAGCAGUGAGGAGGAACAACAGUUCAGCUCUGAAGACUAUGCCCUGGCUGCUGCCCUGGCCCUGACAGCCUCCUCAGAGUUGUCCUGGGAAGCUAAGCUGAGACGCCAGACCACCACAGUGGAGCUGGAGGAGCGUGGACAGAGGCGGGUAGGCUUUGGCAAUGACCUGGAGCGGAUGGAGCUGGCCUUCCUACGCACUCAGAGGCUGCUGCGUCAGAGGCGAGACUGGAAGGCGCUGCGGCAACGGACAGAGGAGAAGGUCCGAGAGGCCAAGGAACUGAUCGAGUUGUGCUCUGGCCGCGGCCCCUGGUUCUGGAUCCCGCUUCGAUCGCAUGCCGUCUGGGAGCACACCACGGUACUGCUGACCUGCACCGUCCAGGGCUCACCUCCAUUCCAGGUCACCUGGUACAAGAACGACAUCCGGAUCGAUCCCCGCCUCUUUCCAGCCGGCAAGUACCGUAUCACCAACAACUACGGGCUGCUGACCCUGGAGAUCAUGAGGUGCACGGUGGAGGACUCGGCCACCUACACUGUGCUGGUGAAGAACGCCUACGGCCAGGCCUCUUCCUUUGCCAAAGUCCUCAUCCGCAAUUACCUGGGGAAAGAUGCUGGCUUUGACUCGGAGAUCUUUAAACGAUCUAUGUUCGGCCCCAGCGCGGAGUUUACAUCGGUGUUGAAGCCAAUCUUUGCCCAAGAGAAAGAGCCUUUCUCCCUGACCUGUUUGUUCUCAGACGAUGUAUUAGAAGCUGAGCAGAGAAUCCAGUGGUACAGAGAUGGCAGGCUACUGAGGUCUUCAACACGCAGGCAGAUACUCUACGCAGACCGCCAGGCCUCCGUGAAGGUGUCCUGUGCCUACAAAGAGGACGAGGGGUUCUACACAAUCCGAGUCUCCUCGCCCUUUGGGCCGCAGGAGCAGAGCGCCUAUGUCUUUAUAAGAGAUGCUGCAGCUGAGAAGCCAGGAGCCCCAGGCUCGCCACUAAACGUCCGGUGUCUGAAUGUGCAUAGAGACUGCCUGACCCUGACCUGGGUCCCGCCCAGCGACACCCGGGGCAGCACCAUCACUGGCUAUUCCAUUGAGAUGUGCCAGGGUGAUUCGGAGGAGUGGAUGCCCUGCCUUAAGGCCCCCGGGGGAACCUGCCGGUGCCCGAUCCAAGGCCUCGUUGAAGGACAGAGCUAUCAGUUCCGAGUGCGCGCCAUCAGCAAAGCCGGCACCAGUCUCCCUUCCAAGGCCUCAGAAGCAGUUGUCACGGGUGACUAUGAUGCAGUCCAUAAGAGUACAGAGAUUCCCUAUGACCUGGGCAGCAAGAUCACCAUCAGCAAGAACGAUUUCGAAGAUGCUGUGACCAUUCCCUCAGCCCCAACCAAUGUCCACGCCAGCGAGAUCAGAGAAGCCUAUGCGGUUCUGAGCUGGGAGGAGCCACGCCCCCGGGGCAGAGCCCCGCUGACUUACACUCUGGAAAAGUCCGUCAUCGGUAGUGGAACCUGGGAGGCCAUCAGCACGGAAACACCCAUCAAGUCCCCAAGAUUCGCCCUCCUGGACUUAGAGAAGGGGAAAUCGUAUGUCUUCAGAGUGAGAGCCUUGAACCAGUACGGCAUGAGUGAUCCCUCAGAGCCCAGCGAGCCUGUCGCCCUGAAGGGCAAGCCAGCGACUCUCCCUCCUCCAGCUCAAGUUCAAGCUUUCCGAAACACUCAGACCUCUGUCUCCCUUGCCUGGGAGCCCGUGGAUGGUGGCUCGGAGCUCCUGGGUUAUUACAUCUACUCCCGCGAGGCCGGAGCAUCAGAGUGGCAGACUGUGAACAACAAACCCAUCCAGGACACCAAGUUCACAGUCCCAGGGCUGAGGACUGGGAAGGAGUACGACUUUUGCAUCAGGUCGGUCAGCGAGGCUGGGGUUGGUGAGAGUUCAGCUGCCACACAGCCAGUCAGGGUCAAGCAAGCACUAGCCACUCCAUCGGCCCCAUAUGACUUCGCACUCCUAAACUGUGGGAAGAAUGAAAUGGUCAUUGGAUGGAAACCCCCCAAGCGACGCGGAGGCGGCAAGAUCCUGGGCUACUUCAUGGACCAGCAUGAUUCAGUGGAGUCAGACUGGCACCCAGUCAACCGUCAGCCCAUCCCAAGCCGUGUGUGCAAGGUCACCAACCUUCAUGAAGGCCAUUUCUAUGAGUUCCGAGCCCGGGCCGUGAACUGGGCAGGUAUUGGCGAGCUGUCGGCACCCAGCAGCCUGUUUGAGUGCAAAGAGUGGACGAUGCCGGAGCCAGGUCCCCCAUAUGAUGUGAGGGUGUCUGAGGUACAGGCCACGUCUGUGAUGCUGCAGUGGGAGCCCCCACUGUAUAUUGGAGCCGGGCCAGUCACAGGCUACCAUGUCAGCUUCCAGGAGAAAGGCUCUGAGGAGUGGAAGCCGGUCACCCCAGAUGCCACCUCUGACACCCACCUCAGGGUGUCUGACUUACAACCGGGAAAGCAAUACAUGUUCAGGGUCCAGGCCAUGAACUCAGCUGGUCUGGGACAACCAUCGGUGCCCACUGACCCUGUGCUCCUGGAGGACAAGCCAGACGCCCAGGAGAUUGAAGUUGGUGUGGACGACGAGGGCCAGAUCUACUUGGCUUUUGAAGCCCCCGAAGCCCCUGACUUCCCUGAGUUUCAGUGGUCCAAGGAUUACCAAGGCCCACCAGACCCACAGAGGGUGGAGGUGGAAGAUGAAAUUAGCAAGUCCAAGGUCAUCCUGAAAGAACCUGACCUUCAGGACUUGGGCAUCUACUCAGUGGUAGUCCCCGAUGCCGACGAAGACACCUCUGCUAGCCACACGCUGACGGAGGAAGAGCUGAACAAGCUGAAGAAGCUGAGUCACGAGAUCAGAAACCCAGUCAUCAAGCUGAUCUCUGGCUGGAACGUGGAAAUCCUCGAGCAAGGUGAGGUGCGGCUGUGGCUGGAGGUGGAGAAACUGUCGCCCGCCGCCGAGCUGCACCUCAUCUUCAACGAGAAGGAGAUCUUCAGCUCCCCGAACCGCAAGAUCAACUUUGACCGAGAGAAGGGCUUAGUGGAAGUUAUCAUCCAACAACUUUCCGAAGAUGACAAGGGGUCCUACACCGCCCAGCUCCAAGAUGGAAAAGCCAAGAACCAGAUCACUCUCGCCCUGGUGGAUGACGAAUUUGACAAGCUCCUGAGAAAGGCAGACGCAAAGAGAAGAGACUGGAAGAGAAAACAGGGUCCCUAUUUCCAGGAGCCUUUGACCUGGAAGGUCACAGAUGACUGCCAAGUGCUUCUGUCGUGCAAGGUAACAAACACGAAGAAGGAGAGUCGCUUUCAGUGGUUCUUCCAGAAGAAAGAGGCGCCACAUGGGCAGUACAACCCGCCGACCGGAGAUGGGAGUCUCUCCAUUGAGGGGUUUUCCAAAGAAAACCAGGGAGUCUACAGAGCCGUGGUUUCUGACGAGAGAGGGGAAGAUGACACUGUGCUGGACCUCACAGGUGAAGCCCUAGAUGCCGUCCUCACUGAGCUGGGCAGGAUUGGUGAGAUAAGCGGCUGGAGAGUGGCGAUCGGGUACGGGCAGGCACCACCCUGGAUGAGAUUUGGCUCCACAUCCUGGACCCUAAGGACUCAGAUAAAGGCAAAUACACCCUGGAGAUCACUGCUGGGAAGGAAGUCCGGCAGCUCUCAGCAGACCUGUCUGGACAAGCUUUUGAUGACGCCCUGGCAGAGCACCAGAGACUGAAGGCCUUGGCUGUCAUUGAGAAGAAUCGGGCUAAAGUGGUAAGGGGCCUGCCAGACGUGGCCACCAUCAUGGAAGAUAAGACCCUGUGCCUGACCUGUGUCAUCUCGGGAGACCCGUCCCCUGAAAUCUCUUGGCUAAAGAACGACCAGCCUAUCUCCUUCUUUGACCGAUACCACAUGGAGGUGAAGGGUACGGAGGUCACCGUCACCAUUGACAAGGUCACCAGCGAAGAUAGCGGGCGCUAUGGAAUCUUCGUCAAGAACAAGUAUGGUUCGGAGACAGGCCAGGUCACCAUCAGCGUGUUCAAACAUGGGGAGGAGCCCAAGGAGCUGAAGAAGAAGUAAUGGGAGCAUUGGGGGGCAGCCUGAGAUCCACCCUACAACGACCAGCAGGCCAGCCCAUGGGUCAUAACCUAGCACAGGCUAUGGGGAUAGGACAGGGGAAGGGAAGGGACAGGGACAUGACAGACCUGGAUCUAACACACAAAAGAGGAGAAGCAAAGAUUUUGCUGGGGUUCUCAGAGGACUCCAGAAUGUGGGGUGCACCCUGGCCUUAGAAGUCAGAAGCUGGAGUGUAAAACUUUGUUUCCACAAAAGCUCUUCACAAGCCUCGCCUUUUCACAUCCAUCAGAUGGGCAUUCCUAUAUAUUCCUUGGGGAUUUAUAAAAAUCCCUUAUCAAUCUCUGUCAGUGGGCCACAGAAGGAGGCACCUUUGCUCUGCAGGGGACAACUGGCAAAGCUAAGAGUUUGGUUGUGACAACCGGAAGUAUUUACUGGCAUUGAGUGGGUUAAUACCACAGAUGCUGGUGAACACCGUAAGGCUCCUCCCACGGCACAGAAUAUAUUCUCUUUUAAAAUAGGACUGUCACCUUUCUACGUGUCCGUCACUCUUUGGACAUAUAGCAUACACAAGGCUGAGGAUGGCCCCAAAGCUAAGAAGAUAAACAUUACACAGGCCCCACUCAGAAAGGGACUGGGGUGCAGGGGUCGCCAGGGCAAGACAGGAGAUACUAAAGUUCACUAAAUGAGUAAAAGGAAAGUACCUUCAAUGAUCAGAGGAAGCGGGCAAUGAUUGAGAGAUGCAGAGCUUGGCAACACCCUUCCACAUUGCGUGGGACAGUGUCGGGCCCUGAAAGCUGAAUCCAGUUUGGCUGUGGAGAUGAGAGGACACCUCAAGGAGCAGACAUGGUGAGGGGUGAGGAAGAAAGGAGUCUCCCUAGGCGACCUGGGAAGCCAGGCAGUGCAGGUGAUGACCUUCGGGGCUUCUUCCAACAUGGAGCCUAUAUGGCCCAUGGCAGACACUUUGGCUGGCCUUACUCAGUGGAUCUCGGUACACAACUGGACAUUUCUCUGCCUUCCGACUUCCUCCAACAAGAUGUGGGAGGGAGGGAGGAGUUAUCAAAUUCUAGCUGUUUGCUGCCAAAUCUUAGAUGAUUUUGGAAAUUAUAAAGGAGGAAAUAAAAAAAAGACAAUCUGUAUUUUCAUCAAGAGGCAGCA